UUUCCGUAGGUGAACCUGCGGAAGGAUCAUUAACGAGUAAGGUGCCCUCUGGGCGCCCGCUCCAACCCUCUGUCUACCUCGAAUCGUUGCCUCGGCGGGCCGGCGCACCACGCGCCGCCGGCUCACCCCGGAUAGUGCCCGCCAGAGGACCUACAAAUACCGCACACGGUGUCGUCCGAGUCAGAUUUUAAAUAUAUCAAAACUUUCAACAACGGAUCUCUUGGUUCUGGCAUCGAUGAAGAACGCAGC
rnacentral:misc_RNA from 1 species